UAAUAUCGCAGGCAAAAACGGGCUGUAUACUCGCACAAUCUAAUUAACGUUUAAGCGGCGUUCUCCGUCGCAGACUGCGAG
rnacentral:ncRNA from 1 species